UUUUUCUCGAUCAAAUCCUUGUUUAUGUCGCAUCAACACCACAUUUUUGUCCUCUCGCUGUGCAUGAGAUAUUCUGACUUACGUCUAAUAUCUUUUAAAUGUAUUAUUUACCCAUUUUGACAUCAACAGGGUUAUAACGCCAACAGCGCCAAUCACUUACUGUACUUCUGUCACCUCACGAUGCCCCCAAAUGGCGCACCAAAAUGAGCUCGAAGAUCUCGAAGAUGUAUUGGAUGCUCAGGACUUAAGGGAACCAGAUCAUCAUUUGUUGACAAGAGGAUAUAUGAGUUCCGACGGCAUCAGCAAGAGGGACAUGAUCAUCCUUGACUCACCUCCAUGAUAGGCAUAUUGUAAUCUUCAAUAGACAUGGGACCGUGAAUAAUUCAGAACGAAAGCCACCAAGUUCUUGGAAUCGAAAAUGUUGGAGAUAGAAGAUACCAAGACUUCAUGAUCUGCUGUUUAUAUAUUAAAGCAGUAUGAGCGCUGGGAUUUUUAAUUCAACGUCCACACAGUAACAUUACCUUUGCUGACUUGAGCGCAAAGCUAAUAGUGGACGUUGGUGAUGUUCAUUUACCGAUGGCGAUCAAUGGUUUGGCCUUCUGGAAAUAACAGUCCAUAGGUACUAGAAAAUGCCAGAU
rnacentral:sRNA from 1 species